UACAGAGGGUGCAAACGUUGCUCGGAAUUACUGGGCGUAAAGCGCGUGUAGGCGGACCAGCACGUCAGGCGUGAAAUCCCUAGGCUCAACCUAGGAACUGCACCUGAAACUUCCGGUCUGGAGUAGUGGAGAGGAAAGCAGAAUUCCUGGUGUAGAGGUGAAAUUCGUAGAUAUCAGGAGGAACACCGGUGGCGAAGGCGGCUUUCUGGACACUUACUGACGCUGAGACGCGAAAGCGUGGGGAGCAAACAGG
rnacentral:rRNA from 1 species